UACAGAGGGGGCAAGCGUUGUUCGGAAUUACUGGGCGUAAAGGGCGCGUAGGCGGGUGCUCAAGUCUGUGGUGAAAUCCUCCGGCUCAACCGGAGAACUGCCAUGGAUACUGGGUGUCUCGAGGGUGGUAGGGGUAUGCGGAACUAUCGGUGGAGCGGUGAAAUGCGUUGAUAUCGAUAGGAACUCCGGUGGCGAAGGCGGCAUACUGGACCACUUCUGACGCUGAGGCGCGAAAGCCAGGGGAGCGAACGGG
rnacentral:rRNA from 1 species